rnacentral:rRNA from 1 species
CUAAUCUGCGAUAAGCGCCGGUAAGGUGAUAUGAACCGUUAUAACCGGCGAUACCCGAAUGGGGAAACCCAGUGUGACUCGUCACACUAUCAUUAACUGAAUCCAUAGGUUAAUGAGGCGAACCGGGGGAACUGAAACAUCUAAGUACCCCGAGGAAAAGAAAUCAACCGAGAUUCCCCCAGUAGCGGCGAGCGAACGGGGAGGAGCCCAGAGCCUGAAUCAGCAUGUGUGUUAGUGGAAGCGUCUGGAAAGGCGCGCGAUACAGGGUGACAGCCCCGUACACAAAAGCGCAUGUGCUGUGAGCUCGAUGAGUAGGGCGGGACACGUGGUAUCCUGUCUGAAUAUGGGGGGACCAUCCUCCAAGGCUAAAUACUCCUGACUGACCGAUAGUGAACCAGUACCGUGAGGGAAAGGCGAAAAGAACCCCGGCGAGGGGAGUGAAAAAGAACCUGAAACCGUGUACGUACAAGCAGUGGGAGCCCCACCACCAAAGCAUUUGCUGUACCGCGUUGACGGAGCGAAGCGACGUCAAACCGAUAAAACAGCAGUGUAAAGUGAGCCGCAGGGCGCUUUGCGCGACAGCGCAAAGGCAGGCGGUUUCGCGUAGCGAAAGCGAAUGCUUUGGGGUGGGGUGACUGCGUACCUUUUGUAUAAUGGGUCAGCGACUUAUAUUCUGUAGCAAGGUUAACCGAAUAGGGGAGCCGGAGGGAAACC